rnacentral:rRNA from 1 species
UACAGAGGGUGCGAGCGUUGUCCGGAAUCACUGGGCGUAAAGGGCGCGUAGGUGGUGGCUUAAGCGUGCGGUGAAAGCUCGGGGCUCAACUCCGAGUCGGCCGUGCGAACUGGGCUCACUGGAGCAUAGUAGAGGCAGGUGGAAUUCCGGGUGUAGCGGUGGAAUGCGUAGAGAUCCGGAAGAACACCAGUGGCGAAGGCGACAUACUGGUCCGUUACUGACGCUGAGGCUCGAAAGCGUGGGGAGCAAACAGG